AGUGAACGCUGGCGGUAGGCCUAACACAUGCAAGUCGAACGGCCGCACAGUAAGAGCUUGCUCUUACGGGUGGCGAGUGGCGGACGGGUGAGGCAUACAUCGGAAUCUACUUUUUCGUGGGGGAUAACGUAGGGAAACUUACGCUAAUACCGCAUACGACCUACGGGUGAAAGCAGGGGAUCUUCGGACCUUGCGCGAUUGAAUGAGCCGAUGUCGGAUUAGCUAGUUGGCGGGGUAAAGGCCCACCAAGGCGACGAUCCGUAGCUGGUCUGAGAGGAUGAUCAGCCACACUGGAACUGAGACACGGUCCAGACUCCUACGGGAGGCAGCAGUGGGGAAUAUUGGACAAUGGGCGCAAGCCUGAUCCAGCCAUACCGCGUGAGUGAAGAAGGCCUUCGGGUUGUAAAGCCCUUUUGUUGGGAAAGAAAAGCAGCAGGUUAAUACCCCGCUGUUCUGACGGUACCCAAAGAAUAAGCACCGGCUAACUUCGUG
rnacentral:rRNA from 1 species